CCUACGGGGGGCAGCAGUGGGGGAUAUUGUACAAUGGGGGGAACCCUGAUGCAGCGACGCCGCGUGGGUGAAGAAGCGCCUCGGCGCGUAAAGCCCUGUCAGCAGGGAAGAAAAUGACGGUACCUGAAGAAGAAGCCCCGGCUAACUACGUGCCAGCAGCCGCGGUAAUACGUAGGGGGCAAGCGUUAUCCGGAUUUACUGGGUGUAAAGGGGGCGCAGACGGGGAUGCAAGCCAGGAGUGAAAGCACGGGGGCACACCCCGGGACUGCUCUUGGAACUGCGUGGCUGGAGUGCGGUAGGGGCAGGCGGAAUUCCUGGUGUAGCGGUGAAAUGCGUAGAUAUCAGGAGGAACACCGGUGGCGAAGGCGGCCUGCUGGACUGCAACUGACGUUGAGGCCCGAAAGCGUGGGGAGCAAACAGGAUUAGAUACCCCGGUAGUC
rnacentral:rRNA from 1 species